AACGGGUGAGUAACACGUGAGAAACCUGCCCCGAAGUCUGGGAUAACCCGAGGGAAACUCGAGCUAAUACCGGACGCCUUCUUCUGAUCGCAUGGUCGGAUGAAGAAAGAUUUAUCGCUUCGGGAGGGUCUCGCGGCCUAUCAGCAGUUGCGGGGUAAGGCCCACCAAGGCGUCGACGGGUAGCUGGUCUGAGAGGACGAUCAGCCACACUGGGACUGAGACACGGCCCAGACUCCUACGGGAGGCAGCAGUGGGGAAUAUUGCGCAAUGGGCGAAAGCCUGACGCAGCAACGCCGCGUGCGGGAUGAAGGCCUUCGGGUUGUAAACCGCUUUCAGUGGGGACGAAUUCAGACGGUACCCACAGAAGAAGCCCCGGCCAACUACGUG
rnacentral:rRNA from 1 species